UUCUAUGGCCGGAUGCGGCUGGGGCACCUUCGGGUGCGCCGCAAGCCUUGUGCGUGGUCUACCAACCCCGUCGUAUCCGGCCACCACA
rnacentral:antisense_RNA from 1 species